rnacentral:lncRNA from 1 species
GUUGUGUGUGUGUGUGUGUGUGUGUGUGUGUGUGUAUCUGCGUACAUGCAUACAUAUACAUAUAAUUCGAGUUGCAGCUUAGUUAAGUAAUGAAGCUGCAGAAAUAAUGCUCAUGAGUGAGUAGUACAAUAUACUUGAUAUUGUUUACAUGACAAGUUCUACGAUAAAAGCUUUAUAAAUAUGAUUUAUAAAGUAUAAAGUAUAAAAAUUUAUAAAGUAUGGAUUGCAUUCCAUACCUACAGCAACCUUACAAAUUGGGUGCUGUUAGUAGCCCUGUUUAAAAACGAGGAAGCAGGUUCAGAAAAAUGGACCACUUUCCCAGUUCAUCCAUCUCUGUAGUACAAACACAGGCUUGAUGGACAUCAGAAACCCUGGGCUCAAGUGCUAUUCAAUUAUAUUUAUUUGUGAUGCUGACAAUGUGACUGAAGUAAUUUAUAAAAAAGCAAUAUUGACGUUUAAUUUAAUUGUCUGCUUGUUAGGGUCAUAAAAUUCUAAUGACACCAUUUAGUAAGUCCAUGCCUUGCCUAUCUAGCAUCCAUUUAUUCCAUUUACACAAUGGAAAUAAAAUUUUACAAGUUAGUAAUGGCAAUUAGACACCACCAUGUGCUAUAAAUGACCUAUUACAUCACAAUGUUCUCUAAGCUGCAACUGUGUGCGUUUUGUUGUUGAGAAAGGUGUCUCAUUUUGCAAUCAAACUCAUCAUGGAGUUCUGACUUAUGAUCCUCCAGCUUCAGGACCGGGAUAACAAGUAUGCGCAACCAAACCCAGCUGGGAGAUCACUAAUGAAUAAAAAAUUCUUUCCUCAGCCCUAUAUUAUCAUUGGUUUCCUAGUGGAUCUCAAGACAGACAGACAUACUUCAUCAUCCUUAAGUUUCUAGUUCGGUUUAUACUUCUAACGCUAACGGAAGCAUAUAUUUAAUAAUAACAUUAAAGACAUUUUUACAGAGAAUCCACUACAAAAUGAAAAUACAGAUACAUACAUGUAGUUACAGAUACGUGCACAUAUAGGGAGAUCAGUCUGUAUUCAUGUAAUUCUCACACUAAUCUGACAAGGUGGAGGUACCUCCAUUAUUAUGCAAUUUUAAAGAAUCCGGGUAGACAAUGAAAUAGCAGGGUCCCACGAAAAGAUGGUAUCUGCCUUGCUCAAGCUGACUGCAGACUCAUUGCUCACGCCAAUGAUUCACAAUUUCGCCUUUAAAUCUGGUUUAAUGAGGAUGUUUUCAAUUUACUUUAACAGCCAGUGACAUUGCUGUGCAUGUUACUGAUAUGUUUUUGUGUAGUAAAGUAAAAACACAACAUACUACCACAUUAAUAGGGAUCACAAAUGCUUGAGGGGAGUAUUGUUAAAAUGCCCACCCAACUCAAGCUGAGGACAUUUAGAAUAUUAUUUUGUUACUUAAAAAAAAUAGCUAUACUGUUUAAUUCAGAUAAUGUGAGAAGCGUUCACUGAUGUCUCUCCAGGUAAAUUGGUUCCUUAUGGGUGCCCUGCCACUAUCUAAGAGCUAUCAAACCAUACAAUGUAUUCUAGACUUACUCUUGAUUGAGGUGACAGCUGUUAAACUGACAUUUUGACAUAUUCCCCUUGAGAUAUGCAUCUGAAAGAGGUUGGGAAUUUGAGAGACUGCUCCCUGGGUCAUCAUUAAUUUAGGUUCUUAGGAAUACUUUCAAAUGUAGUCAUAAGAGUUAACAGGGUGUGGCCUGAAUCCCAUGAACUUGAGAGCUUAUCAGGGAUGUUUAUGUUUUUCUUUUUGUUUUGUUUUUUUUUGUUUUUUUUUUGUUGUUGUUGUUGUUGUUUUGUCUUUUUCCAAAAGGUGGUAAAAGGUGUGAGGAAACAACUGUUAAAGUGCAGAUAUAAAAUGUUUCAUACUUUGGCGAAAGCUUCAGCUGGCAAGUGUGCAAGCUGCUAUUUGUGGAGCCUGAGGCCAACACUAUGUGAUCUGCGAACAAUUCUAGUUUUUUGUUUUAUUUCUAGCACCCUCAACAGAUAACAAUGUUCUUAUUGAUUCCUGACUUGUUUUAUUUGACACAGUAGGAGAAUCUAUAAGUUUUGACUAGCAACACAAUCUUGGUUUCCAGUCAUGUAAUGGAUGGCUUUUACUUAAUUGGUCUUUUAUUUAUUUAAUUCAAGAAAUAAACAUCUCUAUUCUUACUAUUUAAAUCAAAAGCUAAGGUCUUGACAAUAGUCUGAAUUAAACCACGGAGUGAUGGCCAUCUUCCGUGGCCGUUGAGCUGGAAGUGAAUGUCACUUUGAACACCUUCAUACCCAUCCCUCACCUUUCCUCUGUGGAUUUGUUUUAAUCUUAUCUCUUAAAAAAUAUUAUCCUUCAAGCUGUUCACUGUGUUGUUGAGGUGUCUUUUUUUCAUGAUGCAGUGUUUUAUUUGUUCUGCAAGCUACAAAUUCUACACACAAUUGUUUUCAUUUACCUUGUCCUGUUUGAGUUACUGUUGGGUUAAAUUCCCCCCAGUGUGAACAAACACUGGUGUCACAUAUUUUCUUUCAUUCCACAUAUGCAUGUGUUUUCUUUAGCGUGUGUAAGUAGGUGUGCAAUGGCCAGGUUGUAAGUGAUGUGUAUUCAACUGCACAGGAAACAUAUUUCCUAAAGCAAGCACAGCAGUUUAUAUACCUGCUCACUGUGUAUAAAAGACCAAGCUAUUCUAAACCCUUGAAGCACUUAACACGCCCCACUUCUGUGCCCUUCUCCUUAGAGUUUCUCCCUCUUGAUCACUGGCACACAUACCUGCUCACAAGAGUUGCAAUCGCCUCUAUGGGAUGAGAUGGCUUUUAAAAAAUGUCUUAAUCUUAUCAUGUUUAUAAUUCAUAACUUUUCUUAUUAAAGGGAUAUUUCUAUGUACUUUAUUAAUUUAUAACAGAGACCAAAAACUUUUCCUACAAUUUUUCUUGUAUAUGUGCAACUCAUAUGGUGGACAAUGGGACAUAUAUGACAUAAGUUUUCAGCCUCUCCUUUUAGAGAAAAGGUAGCUGUUGGUAAUACCGACAUGAAUAACUAUAGUUAUAUUUCAGUAACUAUUUACAAAAAUAGGCAUGAGACUAGAUCUGGGUGUUUGGGUUAUAGUUUCCUGGUUCCUGCCUUCGGGGAUGAGAGGUAUUGAUGGAGAUAUUGUUAAUUUUUCAACUGGCAGAAUGGCUGGCCCUGUACUAAGAGGCUUGCAAGAUACUGUGACAGUACCUGACUGUAUGCUACAGUACAUUAGAGUAUGUAAUUGUAGCUCAAAGAGCAUUUAUUCUUCUGGUUGUUUCUUUGUGGAUAGAAAAAAAAAUGAACAUAAACUUUUCCAACAGAACUUCGAGCCUGAUUUAAAAAAAAAUCAAAGCUAAGGCUGGAAACGUGGCUCAGUGGCUGUAGAAACAAGGAGACAAGAAUGUAGAUCACUAGAACAUAUAUGAAUGCCAGGUCAGCAUGGUAGCUUGCCUAUAAUCUUAAUGCUCAGUAGGAAGAGACAGGGGAUCUCUGGAGCAAGCUAACUAGCUGGAUUCAUCU